AACGCUAGUGUGAAAGAGGUCUUAAAUAAGUAUUUAUGACCUUUUUAGUUAUUUAGAGAUAAGGGUUAUUAGAUGACCCACAAAGUGAAAGU